GCAAAAGAAUAUUCUUCAAGUCAUUGAUGAAACCAUGCGGUUGGCUUCUUCAUUGUCUGAACCCCAAAAUAGCUCGUGUUCCCAUUUUCCUCACACGCAAACGAGGACGGAGCAGAAUUCACAACACCUCGUAUUCCCAAAUCUUGGAUUAUAACUUUGAAAUCUGAAUCUUGAUUUGAAACUCACGAAAUUAGAGAGAAUAUGAAUACGAUGACAGCUACCAUGACAACCUCUGCAACAACGACAACAACGGUCUCUGUCGGGUCAUCUUCAUUUUUCACUAAUUAUCCACUUAUGUCUGCUCUUAUUGCCUUUGCUCUUGCCCAAUCCACCAAGCUCUUCACUUCAUGGUACAAGGAAAGACGAUGGGAUCUUAAGCAACUUGUUGGAUCUGGUGGAAUGCCAUCAUCCCAUUCAUCAACUGUAACUGCUCUAGCUGUGGCUGUUGGUUUGCAGGAGGGCUUUGGGGGAGCACUCUUUGCUUGUGCAUUAGUUUUAGCGUGUGUGGUCAUGUAUGAUGCCACGGGUGUAAGAUUACAUGCUGGACGUCAGGCAGAGGUCCUGAAUCAAAUUUUGUACGAACUUCCUUCUGAACAUCCUCUUGCAGAUAGCAGACCAUUACGAGAACUCCUUGGUCACACUCCUCCUCAGGUUGUAGCCGGUGGAUUAUUGGGAUUGACGACUGCAACGGCUAUUCAUUUUAUCACAGGCUCAGGACAUCAAGCAUGACAUUAAAGAAGCGGUUGCUUACAAUGUUACAGUUUGUGAAAUAUGAUAUAUGUGAUAUCAGGCCAAAAGUUGCAGAUAUCUCAUUUCACCUCUGAAUUGUGCUGGAUGGUAUUGACUGCAGAGAUGUACUAAUAUUUCAGAUACCUCAUUGCCUCCUAACAGGUUCAGAAUUGCUAAUAUUCAUUUAGAAGUUUAUACACUUUAUACAUAAUGUAGAUAAUUAUUAGCUACAAUGAACUGCAACCUGUAAGUUAAGCUGCACACUUUUCAGAAAAUUAGUUACAGUGUGUUAAAUGUUUUUCUGUAUUACCUCAAUUACUCACAACUU